AUUAAUUUAAUGCACUAGAGACAAUACCGAUUAUUCGGAUUAUUACCAUAAUAGAUAAUACAAUAAAUAUGUAAUAAAGAGACGGAUGGACCACGCUAUAUUAUAUAUUGUAUUCGAGUUUGCCCGAAAAGAAUACAAGCAGGUUACCAACACAAUGGUUACGGUAUACAUUAAAAAUUCACGUAAUCGUAAUUAUCAACGACGAGCUUAUCAAAACACGGAGUUGAUUAGAUUGUUAACGCAAACUACGACCGUAUUCCGUAACCGCAUUUUACCGUUCUGGUAACUAUAUAUUAUACGUAUAGUAUUCAAGCACACAAUACACCGAAUCCCGAAUCCACGCGUAUUAGUUAUAUAGAGGAAUGUUUCGUAUAUCUCUUUAUUUUCGUACGAUUAUUAAUACUGUUGUAUGUACAUAGAUAAUGUAUAUAAUGCAUAUAAUAUAGAAAAGACCGAUGAAUUAAACAGAUUUGUCUGAUAAGGCGUGAAGUAACAAUACUUUGUUUUUGAUUCGAAGCUGGCAUCAUAAUAUACGUUAUACGUCACGAUAACUUGUCGAUAAUAACUGCCGUUGUUUCUGUGUAAAAUUACAAUAAUACAUUAUUAUAGUAACAACUAACAAUAAUAGAUAGCAAUUAUUACCGUUACCGUCACGCGAAACGCGUACUCUAAGUGAAAUAUUAACUUAGUAUCGAUUAAACCUAUU